rnacentral:rRNA from 1 species
AUUGAACGCUGGCGGCAGGCCUGACACAUGCAAGUCGGACGGUAGCACAGAGGAGCUUGCUCCUUGGGUGACGAGUGGCGGACGGGUGAGUAAUGUCUGGGGAUCUGCCCGAUAGAGGGGGAUAACCACUGGAAACGGUGGCUAAUACCGCAUAACGUCGCAAGACCAAAGAGGGGGACCUUCGGGCCUCUCACUAUCGGAUGAACCCGGAUGGGAUUAGCUAGUAGGCGGGGUAAUGGCCCACCUAGGCGACGAUCCCUAGCUGGUCUGAGAGGGUAAACAGCCACACUGUAACAGAGACACGGUCCAGACUCCUACGGGAGGCAGCAGUGGGGAAUAUUGCACAAUGGGCGCAAGCCUGAUGCAGCCAUGCCGCGUGUAUGAAGAAGGCCUUCGGGUUGUAAAGUACUUUCAGCGGGGAGGAAGGCGGUGCGGUUAAUAACCGCGCCGAUUGACGUUACCCGCAGAAGAAGCACCGGCUAACUCCGUGCCAGCCGCCGCCGUAA